CGGCGGACGGGUGAGUAACGCGUGGGUAGCCUGCCUCAUACAGGGGGAUAACAGUUAGAAAUGACUGCUAAUACCGCAUAAGACCACAGCACCGCAUGGUGCGGGGGUAAAAACUCCGGUGGUAUGAGAUGGACCCGCGUCUGAUUAGCUGGUUGGUAAGGUAACGGCUUACCAAGGCGACGAUCAGUAGCCGACCUGAGAGGGUGACCGGCCACAUUGGGACUGAGACACGGCCCAA
rnacentral:rRNA from 1 species